AUCUAGAGAAUUGUGGUUGUUUUGUUUAUUUCACUGAAGAUGCAUCAUCACUAUACCUACUUAAGCAUAUUCUCUGCAUCUGUAUUUAUUUAAAAAUGCUUUUGCAACCUGACACUGUUCAGCUUUUUUAUCUUUUACCAGUAUUUGGGGACUUAUUGGGGAUUCCUUUGAUAAUUUCAGGAAGAAAGAAGUGGAAUGGAAGGAGCCAGUAACUGUCCCAGGUCAGAAAACGCCUCUGAAAAGGAUCUACAUUACACCCAAAGUUCAUUGGAUAACUGCACCCUCAACAAUCAGGAGACAAUAAGUGGUGUAGACAGAGCUAAUAUCUUCCCCAAAUCAGAUGGUACCUCUGAAGACAUUCAGCAUUCCACAGACUGUUCACAGGUUGAGACUUUCCACAUUCAGGAGACAAUAAGUGGUACGAACCAAGCCAGUAACUGCCCCAAAUCAGAUGGUGCCUCUGAAGACAAUCAGCAUUGCACAGACAGUUCACAGCAUGACAGUAUCUUCCACAUUCAGGAGACAAUAAAGGGUAUGAACCAAGCCAGUAACUGCCCCAAAUCAGAUGGUGCCUCUGAAGACAAUCAGCAUUGCACAGACAGUCCACAGCAUGACAGUAUCUUCCACAUUCAGGAGACAAUAAAGGGUAUGAACCAAGCCAGUAACUGCCCCAAAUCAGAUGGUGCCUCUGAAGACAAUCAGCAUUGCACAGACAGUUCACAGCAUGACAGUAUCUUCCACAUUCAGGAGACAAUAAAGGGUACGAACCAAGCCAGUAACUGCCCCAAAUCAGAUGGUGCCUCUGAAGACAAUCAGCAUUGCACAGACAGUUCACAGCAUGACAGUAUCUUCCACAUUCAGGAGACAAUAAAGGGUAUGAACCAAGCCAGUAACUGCCCCAAAUCAGAUGGUGCCUCUGAAGACAAUCAGCAUUGCACAGACAGUCCACAGCAUGACAGUAUCUUCCACAUUCAGUGGCUCUUGAUGUAGAACCACCCAUAGAUCCUUCUGCAAAAGAAGUCCAGAAAUCUUCAAUUGAACAAGCAACAGAAAUAACAAGUACCACAACUACCAUGAAAGGUACUGUUUGUUAAACUUCAUAGAAAGCCUUUAUGAACUUAAAAAUCUCUGUUUUUUCUGAUGUGCUUUGUUCAUUCAGGUCGAAAGGUGGUAAAGAAAAAGAAAUGGGACAGUGAUGAAAUGAAUGCAGUUGAAAAGCAUCUAAACAGGUUCAUCAAAACUUGUACAGUGCCAGGAAAACAACAAUGUGAGGCCUGUAUAAAUGCUGAACCUGUUGCCUUGAAAGACAGGGAUUGGUUGUCUGUAAAGUUCUUUGUGAAGAACAAAAUCACUACCCUUAAAAGAAGAAUGUAAAGUCAGUUAUUUUAUUUUGUUUGGUAUCUUAUUUUCUGGUAUUUUAGAUUUCUGGUUAUUACAUUUGUUUUAAAAGGAUCUUAGAAUCUCUUUUUUUUUUUUUGGAAAUGGGUGCAAUUCAGUAAAGUGUCUUUGAAUCGAAUGUAAAUAUGUACAG
rnacentral:lncRNA from 1 species